UGGCAGUGACGAUGAUGGUUAUGAUGAUGGUGAUGAUGGUGAUCAGGGUGACCAUGAUGGUGAUGAUGGUGGUGAUGGUGAUGAUGGUGGUGAUGGUGAUGGUGGUGGUGGUGAUGGUGGUGGUGGUGAUGGUGGUGAUGCUUCUGAUGGUGAUGAUAAUGGUGAUGGUGGUCACAGGGAUGAUGGUGCCGGCAGUGACGAUGAUGGUUAUGAUGAUGGUGAUGAUGGUGAUCAGGGUGACCGUGACGGUGAUGAUGCUGAUGAUGGUUAUGAUGAUGGUGGUGGUGGUGAUGGUGAUGGUGGUGAUGAUGGUUAUUAUGAUUGUGGUGAUGGUGGUGAUGAUAAUGGUGGUGGUGAUGAUAAUGGUGAUUGUGAUCAUGGUGAUCAUGAUGGUUAUGAUGAUGGUGAUGAUGGUGAUGGUGGUGGUGAUGCUGCUGAUGGUGAUGAUAAUGGUGAUGGUGGUCCCAGGGAUGAUGGUGCUGGCAGUGAUGGUGAUGGUUAUGAUGAUGGUGAUGAUGGUGAUCAGGGUGACCGUGAUGGUGAUGAUGCUGAUGAUGGUUAUGGUGAUGGUGGUGGUGGUGAUGGUGAUGGUGGUGAUGAUGGUUAUUAUGAUGGUGGUGAUGGUGGUGAUGAUAAUGGUGAUGGUGAUCAUGGUGAUCAGGGUGACCGUGAUGGUGAUGAUGGUGGUGAUGGUGAUGGUGGUGGUGGUGAUGGUGAUGGUGGUGAUGGUGAUGGUUAUGAUGAUGGUGAUGAUGGUGAUCAGGGUGACCGUGAUGGUGAUGAUGGUGAUGAUGGUUAUGAUGAUGGUGGUGGUGGUGAUGGUGAUGAUAAUGGUGAUGGUGAUCAUGAUGGUUAUGAUGAUGGUGAUGAUGGUGAUGGUGGUGGUGAUGCUGCUGAUGGUGAUGAUAAUGAUGAUGGUGGUCCCAGGGAUGAUGGUGCUGGCAGUGACGGUGAUGGUUAUGAUGAUGGUGAUGAUGGUGAUCAGGGCGAAGGUGAUGGUGAUGAUGGUUAUGAUGGUGGUGGCGAUGGUUUUCUCCCUAAUACCAUAUACUACCACAGAGGCUUGGAGAAGGAAAUGGCGGCCCACUUCAGUAUUCUUGCCUGGAAAAUCCCAUGGACAGAGGAGCUGGCAGGCUACAGCUUAAAGGUCGCAAAGAGUCAGAUAAAACUGAGUGACCUGAGCACAGCACAUACCACAGGGGCCAAAAUUUGUAAAGCAUUUUCGAUUACUUAGAUGCUUAGGCAUUUUUGUAUUUCUUCACUCUAAAAAGCUGUAUGAGCUACUUUUUUACUACAAAGCUGUAAACAAACCACCCAAAACUCCACAGUCUCUCCCACCCUGUCUAUUCUUGUCACUCUCUGCAUGUUGGCUGGCUGGCGGGGCUCUGCUGGGCCGGCCCCGUGCCUCGCCACUGCUCCGGGAUGAGGGGCCUGCGGUGUGUCUCUGCGUGGCUGGGGCUGAAGCAUGGUAUGACUUACCCAACUGUGAGCACAUUUCAAACCUCAUCUUGUGACCUGUCUGCUCGCAUCUGUGAACCACCCCUGGGCUCCGAGCGGGUCCCCAGGCUCAGCCUCCCAGGCCCCUUGGGUCUGUUCUGCUGUCUGUAGAGCAAGGUCUUGUCCCGGGCACCAGCCAGAGGGUCAGUAUUUUCAUCAGGGACCGGACAUGACUGAGGGCAGAGGCCUG
ensembl:lncRNA